rnacentral:piRNA from 1 species
AUAUGAGUGAGUGAUGGG